UACAGAGGUCCCAAGCGUUGUUCGGAUUCACUGGGCGUAAAGGGUGCGUAGGCGGUCGGGUAAGUCUGACGUGAAAUCUCCAAGCUCAACUUGGAAAUGGCGUCGGAUACUAUUCGGCUUGAGGAAUGGAGGGGAGACUGGAAUUCUCGGUGCAGCAGUGAAAUGCGUAGAUAUCGAGAGGAACACCAGUGGCGAAGGCGAGUCUCUGGACAUUUCCUGACGCUGAGGCACGAAAGCCAGGGGAGCAAACGGG
rnacentral:rRNA from 1 species